rnacentral:lncRNA from 1 species
GCAUUCUCCAUACACCACACAAAGCAUUCAAGACAUGUAGGCACUUUGGUCAUUAAAGUGGUGGAGUAAUCUUUCUCCAAAGGUUCUCAAGGUUUUACUCUUAUCUCUUGAGCCUAAGAAUAAGAGUGGUGAUGGUCUUAUCCUCGGGAGAGAUUUCGUGUAACCCAAGGCUUAAGGGUCGAAAUACUCUUUUCGGAAAGUGGUAUCCACGAUUCCGUCACGAUCCAAGAUCCCCCUAAGUUCUCUGGAACAUUGUUGUGCACGAAGUUCUCAACUUGGG